UAUUCUCGGGGCGGGGUGUAAUUCCCCACCGGCGGUGAGUGCUGAGUGCGCAAGCCCGCGAGCCCUGCCAGUGUAUGGCAGCGCAGAUCUGGUGCAAAACCAGAGCCGACGGUAACAGUCCGGAUGAGAGAGAAUG
rnacentral:ncRNA from 1 species